UCAAUAAGGGCUGCUGGAUCCAUGAUGUAAAGCCUCCACGGGCUUGGAAUAAAAUGUAGGUAUAUUGACGAAAGGAGUAAAGGGCUAGAACAUACACACUGCUUGUCAGGUUACCAUAUCUCAUUCUUUGACUUAGUGUACAUUCAGACAGCUUGAUUUCAAGGGGCCUGUGCAGUGAACUGAAGCAUAACUUUGGCUGUCUGAAAGCUUCACUUGCCUGACAAACCUGUUCUUCUUGUGAGUUUAGCCCCCAGGCACCUGCUAGGAAAAUUAAGUGAUUUAAAGGAAAGACUGCCAGGAUUGCUCAGCCAUUGUGCCUGAAUUUGGAUCCCAGAUAUUGAAAGAUGGUCUGACUAAGGUUUUAGUGGGGACUUAUAAAAAUCAUGCCACUUGGAUGGAUAGGUGAUCCUGUCAAGUGAGACUUCUUUUGAAAAUCCAGCUGCAAGAUGUCACACCUACAGGCACAAAUGAAGGUGAUCUACAAGAUCCUGAUCUACCUAAAAAGAAGUACCACAUGGAGACAGCUUCAGAAGAAAAGAGGGGAGACAGCUUGACUGGAUCUAAGCCCAUUAUUUCUUUAUCUCCACUGACAGUUGGAACCAGGAAUCGGGAAGUUCUUAGCAUUUUUAGAAAAAAGGACACUGCAUUAUUGCCAGAGACCAAAGAAAGCAUCCUUUAAAAAUAAUUCUAGAUAGAGGAUGGCUGCCUAUUACAUUUCUGCCAAUGGAGGGCACCACAUUUUAACUUAAUAUUGGAACGUUGAUUGGAAGCAGUGACAUAGACAUUUUCUCCAUCACUAAGUUUUAGAUCAUUUCACUGUAAUUUGCCUGGAUAAAAUCUGGAUUUUAAAUUGAUUAACAUCUCAGUUUAGUCUAUGAGAUAAACAUCUUUGUUUGAAUUAUGAA